rnacentral:rRNA from 1 species
AAUUAACGCUGGCGGCGUGCCUAACACAUGCAAGUCGAGCGAGGUGUUUGGUGUAGCAAUACAUUAGACAUUUAGCGGCAGACGGGUGAGUAACACGUGAGUAAUCUGCCCUUAAGAAGGGGAUAACUUGCCGAAAGGUAGGCUAAUACCCUAUAGCCCUGGAGGACGAAAGUUUUCUAGGUAAAGCAGCAAUGCACUUAAGGAGGAGCUCGCGGCCUAUCAGCUAGUUGGCGGGGUAAUGGCUCACCAAGGCGACGACGGGUAGCCGGCCUGAGAGGGUGACCGGCCACACUGGGACUGAGACACGGCCCAGACUCCUACGGGAGGCAGCAGUGGGGAAUAUUGCACAAUGGGCGCAAGCCUGAUGCAGCAACGCCGCGUGAGGGAUGACGGCCUUCGGGUUGUAAACCUCUUUUAGUAGGGAAGAAGCGAAAGUGACGGUACCUGCAGAAAAAGCACCGGCUAACUACGUGCCAGCCGCCGCGGUAA